CUCAGGACGAACGCUGGCGGCAUGCCUAACACAUGCAAGUCGAACGGAGUUACUUAACUAGAUCCCUUCGGGGUGACGGUUACUUAACUUAGUGGCGGACGGGUGAGUAACGCGUGAGGAACCUGCCUUUCAGAGGGGGAUAACGUUUGGAAACGAACGCUAAUACCGCAUAACACAAUCGAGUGGCAUCGCUUGAUUGUCAAAGGAGCAAUCCACUGAAAGAUGGCCUCGCGUCUGAUUAGAUAGUUGGCGGGGUAACGGCCCACCAAGUCGACGAUCAGUAGCCGGACUGAGAGGUUGAACGGCCACAUUGGGACUGAGACACGGCCCAGACUCCUACGGGAGGCAGCAGUGGGGGAUAUUGCACAAUGGGCGAAAGCCUGAUGCAGCAAUGCCGCGUGAGGGAAGAAGGUUUUCGGAUUGUAAACCUCUGUCCCUGAUGACGAAGACAGUGACGGUAAUCAGGGAGGAAGCCACGGCUAACUACGUG
rnacentral:rRNA from 1 species